UGAUUAAGCCAUGCGAGUCGAGAGGGUUCGGCCCUCGGCGUACUGCUCAGUAACACGUGGAUAACCUGCCCUAAGGAAGGGGAUACCCUCGGGAAACUGAGGAUAAUACCCUAUAGGUUACCGAUGCUGGAAUGCUCGGUAACUCAAAGUUCCGGCGCCUUAGGAUGGAUCUGCGGCCGAUUAGGUAGUUGUUGGGGUAACGGCCCAACAAGCCCGUAAUCGGUACGGGUUGUGGGAGCAAGAGCCCGGAGUUGGAUUCUGAGACACGAAUCCAGGCCCUACGGGGCGCAGCAGGCGCGAAAACUUUACAAUGCGGGCAACCGUGAUAAGGGAACCUCGAGUGCCUGUACAUGCAGGCUGUCUGGGUGUCUAAAACACACCCAAAGAAAGGGCCGGGCAAGACCGGUGCCAGCCGCCGCGGUGAUACCGGCGGCUCGAGUGGUGGCCACUUUUAUUGGGCUUAAAGCGUUCGUAGCUGGGUUGUUAAGUCUCUUGGGAAAUCCGGCGGCUUAACCGUCGGGCGUCUAAGAGAUACUGGCAAUCUUGGAACCGGGAGAGGUGAGGGGUACUUCGGGGGUAGGAGUGAAAUCCUGUAAUCCUCGAGGGACCACCUGUGGCGAAGGCGCCUCACCAGAACGGCUUCGACAGUGAGGGACGAAAGCUGGGGGAGCAAACCGGAUUAGAUACCCGGGGUAGUCCC
rnacentral:rRNA from 1 species